GCUGAAUUCUCAGGGCACUGGGAGACUCUGAUAAGAUCAUCUAAUUGAUACUCAAGAUAUUUUUGUAGAAUAUCACAAGAAUAUGUUUGUGGAAUUUUAAACUCUGCUUUGUGAACAAUCCAGAAUACAUAACUAAAGGUUCUAUAGUUUAUGUCUUAAGGUUGUCUCUAAUUCCUAACCUAGUACUGAAUGGCUUGGGUUCUGGAAUCCUGACUAGGGGAAGCUUUGUGGGGAUAAAGAAAGAACACACACACACAGGCCCUGGUACAGGGAAGCUGGGAUCCGAUGAGGUCUGCUACAGCCCAGACCGGGAACCUCAGUCCGUUUACUAGGCUCCCAAAUUAGAGCGUACGAGUCCACUCAUUCUAAGCCUCUGAACGGCAACUGAGGUCAGUAACUAAGGAUCAACUUAUUAAUCAACCAUGACCCAAGCCCCAGAAGAUGGCAACACAUCCCUACACAUAGAGGGUGGCACAUCCCAACCUCCUCUAGGAUGAGGUAUCCCUGCUUAGAAUCUUUUCUUCUGGUUAUUUAUGAUGUCUUUAUUACAAGCUGGUGAUAUAACCCACCAUCCACUUCGAAUGUUAAUGUGACAAUUAAAUACUUUUUUAACUAAAAGGCAACAUUAAAACUA